UAGGGAAUCUUCGGCAAUGGACGAAAGUCUGACCGAGCAACGCCGCGUGAGUGAAGAAGGUUUUCGGAUCGUAAAACUCUUUUGUUAGAGAAGAACAAGGACGUUAGUAACUGAACGUCCCCUGACGGUAUCUAACCAGAAAGCCACGGCUAACUACGUGCCAGCAGCCGCGGUAAUACGUAGGUGGCAAGCGUUGUCCGGAUUUAUUGGGCGUAAAGCGAGCGCAGGCGGUUUCUUAUGUCUGAGGUGAAAGGCCCCGGCACAACCGGGGAGGGUCAUUGGAAACUGGGAGAGUUGAGUGCAGAAGGGGAGAGUGGAAUUCCAUGUGUAGCGGUGAAAUGCGUAGAUAGAUGGAGGAACACCAGUGGCGAAGGCGGCUCUCUGGUCUGUAACUGACGCUGAGGCACGAAAGCGUGGGGAGCAAACAGG
rnacentral:rRNA from 1 species